rnacentral:rRNA from 1 species
UUAGUGGCGGACGGGUGAGUAACGCGUGGAAAACCUGCCGUAUACUGGGGGAUAACACUUAGAAAUAGGUGCCUAAUACCGCAUAAGCGCACAGCUUCGCAUGAAGCGGUGUGAAAAACUCUGGUGGUAUACGAUGGUUCCGCGUCUGAUUAGCUAGUUGGUGGGGUAAUGGCCUACCAAGGCAACGAUCAGUAGCCGGCCUGAGAGGGUGAACGGCCACAUUGGGACUGAGACACGGCCCAAACUCCUACGGAAGGCAGCAG